rnacentral:lncRNA from 1 species
CGAACCCUCUUUCUAGUCCCUCCUGCUGCGCAGCCCGACUCCGAUUGAGUUGUGAGUGUUGUGACUUGUUGCCAGGUGCCAUCGAGUCCUCAAUACCAAAAUCGACCUCCGCACUCCAUCAUUGCCCGACACCACUGUGUGAGCCUCUCUCUCUCUCUCUCUCUCUCUCUCUCUCUUUUACUUCAUGAUUAUGAUGGAUAUGUGAAUAAUUAAAAUUUAAGAGGCUGGGAUAAUGGGGAGAAGCAUAAUUUGAUUUAAGGUGAUUUUCUAUGGGUUUAUGUGUUUUCUUCAAUUUGAUUUCUUUACUCAGGCUUCAGAAGUUUUAAAGGAAUGUGCACGAAUUUUAGUGGUGCUUGAGUGUAUGGGUUUUGAAUCUUCUGUUGGAAUUAUAACUGGAAGCUUUGAUUUUUUUUUGCUUUUGUUCUAUUUGUUGUUUGGAAGUUUAAAUGAUUUUAAGGCUCAUCGAAUGGAAAAGCUUUUGAUCGCUGAUGUGGUUAUGCUUACUCUAAUUUUUUAUGUUCUAGUAGAGUUGAACUAAGAAUAAAUGAUAGUAUCUUGAAAUGAAAAUAAUGAAAAUGACUACAGCUGGGAUGAUUUUAAUAUGUUCUUCAAUAUCUUAUUUGCAUAAGAAUGCAGUUUUUUGAGCUCAGGAGGUUGUAUCAUGCAUUUUUUUUUUUAUAGUAUCAUGUUGUAUUGGAUUAUAUUUUCAUAUUUAUAUGAUUUUAAGUUUUUUUCAUAUUUAUAUAUUGAUUGAAGAAUUUUUAAUAUUGUUUUAUUAAGUAUUAAUAAAUGAUGUUGCUAUUGCUGUCAUCGACGAUUGACUAUAGACGGUCAGCGACUAAACUAUUGCCCUAGCUCACUACAAUUUCUGGAUUUGCCACUGAUGGAUAACACUUGAUAGGUUUAAUUAAAAAAAUCACAUGACAUUGCAUUUAAGUUAAUCAAUCAUUUAAUGUCAUACAGUUGUCAUUUAGAUUGGUGCUUAAUAUCAAGGUGCUGAAUAGCAUUACUCAUAAUAAAAAGGAGAGAAAAUUAUGGAUUGGAAUCUAAACGUUUGGCAAUAUGCAUACAAGAAUUCAAUUGCCAUGUCCAGGCAUAGGUUCAUCUCAAUAACUAUCCACCGCCGAAGCAUGAUUCACCAUAAAUGAACAUACGCACAGGCAAACUUGAUGCUAUUCCCCCAAAUUUACAUAAAGCUAUUCCACCUCGUCCCAGCCACCAUACUAGGUGCUUAUACGUAUAAAUUAUUGUACUUGUAUCUAUUUAAAUGCAAAUGGAUUGUUCAAUUUCUUUCAAGGGUGGGUCAAAGAGAGUUUCUAUGAAGUUUGCACCAAGGUUUAGAUUUAGACCCUCAGAUAUCGACCUUGUUUCUUACUACUUGAAGAAGAAAAUUUUGGAUCCCCCAAUUCGGAAUAUAUUACCCACUAUUAAUGUUUAUGGAGGUAAACCCUACGAUCUUCCUCGAGGUAAUUAAUUUCCUGAUUGAUUAUGUUGCAUGUUAUGAAUUAUGAAUUGUUUGUGUAACUAUAUGCCGGUUAUAGUUGAAAUCUUUCAAUUAUUUGUUUAGAUGACUCAAUGGAUACAUGCAUGAAUUUCGUGUUUAUUUGUAUUUCAUAUUUGUAUUGUGAGAUACCCCUAUUUGGUGUAGCUAAAAAUUAUAUUUUUAGUAAAUUUUUAUACACGAAGUUCCAAAGCGUUGGUGUGAUUCGGUUUGAGCAAUGGAUCCUGACACGAUACAUCAUCAUAAUAAAAAUAAAGUGGAUACGUGAGUUGGCUUUCAAGUAAAUAUACAAUAAGCACUUUGAAUUGUCUCUUUAAAAAAAACUACUAUAACUAUAAAAUUAGAAGAGAAAUUCUUAGGAAAUUCUUGACUCCUCGAAGCACGUAAUAAGGUGUUUAAAGAUAAAAUUUAAAUAAAUAAAUUUGUUAUUCGUAUAGCUUAAGCCUAAACCUUUUAGAUAUGAAGGUUCAAUUUGGUAUUAGAGUACAGCUAUAUUAAAGGCUCAAGUAUUCUCGUCAUCCGUUUGUGAAAAUGGAUCAAAUUUAAGGCCUUGGAUAUUAAAGGCAUGUUUGACAACCAUUAAUUUAUUUUAUAGUUUGUUACAGGAUCAUUAUUAAUCAUACAUUCACACAAUAAAAUAUUCUACACAUAUGCCAAAAAAAAAAUUCUACUUUCAAACACACAUUCUCCUAGAAAUUCAAAACUUUUUUUCUACAAUAAUGGUUGUCAAACAGGCUAUAAUUGAAUCCAGCCUCGUAAAUGGGGUAUGUUAAAGACUAAAUUGAAAUAAAUAUAAGUGUUCUCCUAGACAUAAUGACUCAAGCUUUUAGAUGGUGUGGUUUCAUAAGAACUCCGAUUUAGAUCUGAUACUUCUGUUAAUAGAAAUUCCAGUUCCAAUUCUCAAUUGCAUGCAUCCAAUGUACCUGAAAUUUCAUAUUACAUUGCACUCUUGCAUGCUUUUAACCAGCAUGAGUUCAUCUCUUCGAUCGCAAUUUUGAUUUUAGUAUCUGACUUCACGAUUUCUGCGUGUUCUUGUUUGUUAUUGGCCAGUAAAACUUUGGUAAUUUAUUUCUCUUUGAUACAGAGAUAAAUCCAUUGAAAGGCGUGAGAGAUAAGAAGAAGUUGCUGAUAACUCAGUUGACUCGUAAGUUUUGUCCACUACACUAUUUAUCAAGUGACCCAAGUUAGCCCAAGUUGAUGCAGAUGAGAAACGACCCAUAUGACUUAAAGGAGCCGCAUCUUGAAUAUCCGUUUCAGGAUGACAGGGGUCACUCUUGUUAUGACUUCAUACUCAGCCAUCCAUGUUGCUCCAUUAAAUUUCUAAAAGAGAAUGCUUCUUUUGACUUAGUCUCAACUUUGAACUUCAAUAUUGCUAUUUUCUCUAUAGGAGUGACAUGUAUUCAAAUUCAAGGGAUAAAAACAUUUUGUUCCGUUGGAAAAUUAGGUUGUGAGUCGUCCAUAUAGGCUGACUCAACCCGCAAGGUAAUAAAGUGAGUUGAAGGGAAUGAU